GGGCUUUUAAUCCUCCGACCCAACACAACGUGGUCUGCUGCUUCUAGCAACAUCGCCUUGUGCUUUUAGGGUUUCAGCUUCGUUCACAAAACCUUCGCUGCCGGUCUUUUCUCGGCCUUCACCAUUCCCUCCGCUCGCCAUGGCUGCCGCCGCUAGGUCGGUCCUUCGCUCGGCUUCGAUCCGCGGCGGCGCGGCGCGGGUCGCGGCCGAGGCCGUAGCGGCCUCGCGCCCUCAGCUUCGCUGUCUCCCCAAACUGAGGCCGGCAGCCGCCAGUCGUUUCCUCAGGUCUCCCGUGGAGGCGAGCUUCUGUGUGGAGUCGCUAAUGCCGAUGCACAGCGCAACGGCCACGGCGUUGUUGACCUCGAUGCUCAAUGUUUCGCGUAGGGGAUAUGGAUGGCUCUCCGAAGGAUAUGAUGAAACUAGAUGAAAGCCAAGCACCAAAAGCUGGCAAUGAUGAUGUAUGAUGGUCUAUCAAGUGGAUUCAGCAAUACUUUGGAUUCAGAAAAGCCAAAUGCUUAUUUGAGAAUGAUACCUUGCUAUGCUAUAGAAGGAACCGACUCGCUUGGUUUUGUGAUUUAUUUUUUCCUGCUAGAUGGACCAAUUUAAGGUUCUCGGCUUUUGCUUUUACCCUCCAUUGUUUGUUUUGCUGAUUCACCCUCGAUAUGUUCAAGCUUUAUGAAACUGAGGGACCAGCUGCAAAUAAGAAGGGGAAAUGUCUGUCUCAAUCAAUAAAUUAAGAAUGUUGGAAAUUAUUUUGAAGCAAUAUCAGUGCUCCUCUCUCAUCCAUCAUAUAAUGGGAUUGCCAAGUGAAUCUCAGUUUGCACUCA